UAAAAAAAGUUUUUUACAGUGGGAGUUAUGAUACUCUUGUUGAUGAUAAAUUGCGAGAAGAGUACAAUAAAAAUGAAGCGGCUAAAAAUGAAGCGGCUCGAAUGCUUCAUUGUGCUGCUGCUUGUGUGUAUAAACCUGCAGCAGGUCGCCCAAAAAUGAGUGAGAUUGUUGAAGUCCUAAAAGGAAAUAUGGCAUUAGAGUGUGUAUGGCAAAGCAGAGACAGCAAAUUCCUGCACGAUGGAGCACCGUAUUACUCAAUUGUCUAAGGGAAAUCUUAGAUCUGCGAUGACUAACCAACAACUAGGCCAAAUACUUCUUUUACUGGUUUAAAGUGUCAUUAUGAUGUUUAAAAAAAAAAAUUUUUAUUUAUGUCUCGGAUGCGAGUGCACAAUUCAUUUGAAUCUGUAAAACUUUAAGUUGUAUUGCAUUGGCAUCUUGUGUGCCAGAAAAAUUGUUUUGUAUUCUUUA